AUUACUUUUACAACUUCUCAUUGCAUUGACCUGGUGAUCGUACGAGACGUCACUUGCUCUAAGUUAAAUAAUUUAAAGUUUAACAGAAACCAAGAAAAAUUCAAUGAUCGAUCGCUAGAGCAAACAUUUUCACCUCAUCGUGGUGAAAAUGUGAAAGAACUUUGGGGUUAAAUGAACAAGUCUGACCUAUGAUUUUUUUCGGUGGACUGCGAGCGUACUUUGUUGAGAAAUGGGCAUGGCAGAAAGUGGUCAACUCCCCUGCGUGAAAAUCUUUGCAACAUCCUUUUCGAUCACUCGUGCCAAGAAAUGGAGCGACAGCUGCACUGUCAACGCUCAACGAACACUCGAAACUCAACGAACGUCAACGAAAGCUGCAGUUUAUCGCCCUAUCCUCGCCGCCAGCUGGAACAAUUCUACCGGAAUAGGGAAUCUGAGAUUGAGAGUCUCAGUUCCUCUGUCAAAGCAGCUGAAGUUCUUUUGAUUGACCAACUGGUCCCUGCGUCCGUCUUGGAGUUGUUGGCAGAAGAAAAAGGCACAACAAACCAACGCGACAUUCAAACUUAUCCACCUCCAUCACUGUAUGCUUUGCUAUCGGCGUAUUUAAGGCCGGACGUGGACGACGUUACGAAACAUCGUCUAGUUCAAUACGUCUUUAUGGAUUCGACGUGGAUCUAUGACCUGGAUUCUAGUAGCGAUGAGGCUGAAGGAGUUGACAAUAAAUCUGUUGGGAGAGAGGAGGAAGAGAAAUUGGAAGGAGAUUACGAUGAAGUUGAGGAGGAAGAGGAACUGGAAGAAGAGGAAGACCACGGAGUAGCUCAAGAAGUAAUUGGAGAAGUCCAGGUCUAAUUGGUUCAUCGCGUGGUCCUGUAGCUGAGGAAGGUGCUGAUGUAGGGUCGGAAGACGAAGAGGGUUGCGAAAAAGUGGAUGAACGCGAGGCACAAGAACGGGAGGAAGUUUUCGAAUACUACUUUAAAGUGGUUCUUGUGCCAGAGGUUAGAUGGCAGUCGCAUCGUAGUAUUUCGAAUCGCUAGAUGGAACUGUCCCAAGUGUUUCUUCUACCGGACACUAGAUGGCACUGUAAAAGUUCGUUCUUCCGGACACUAGAUAGUCCAAAAAAGUUUUUUCUUCCGGACACUAGAUGGCACUGUUAAAAACGUUUCUUAAGCCAGACGUUAGAUGCCAGUCGAAAAACUUUGUUAUUUCUAACCGCUAGAUGACAUCUGAUGUCUGCACGCGCAAAGAUUUGUUUCAUUCUGAUCUAGUUUUCUGCCCUUUGUCACAAGGUAAGUGUUUUCUUGUAUUCCUAGUGUGAUUACUUUGAUAUGGUUUUGUUUAACAGUGCCGAGAAGGAUAUUUUGCCAGAGAGUGUCCAUAAGCUGGUGGGGGCGGUGGCAGUGGCCCGUUGACGUCACAAAUAUGGGGAAGGGGACGUUUCUCGAAGGACAAAACCGUGGCGGUUGGGGAAGUGAUACCUGCCAUGAGGUAAAAAAGAAAACAAAAACGUUUUAGGUGUCCAUUUUUAAUGAAGAAGAGGGCCAUGUAGCAAGGGAUUUCCCACAAGGAGGAGGCAUUGGUGGCAGCAAGUGUUACAACAUAAGCACCAACUGUAUCUUCACAAAAAUAUUUUAUGUUGCAGUGUUCAUUGUUUUACCACAGCGUAAUGAAGCUGGCCACACCUCGGAAAGCUGCCCGAAUCUAUUCAGUGAAUUGACGGAAGAUGGAAAGCCGAGUGAACAAUAUAUUCCGGAAGCUGUGACAUGUGAAAGUAGUCCUCCAGAUUACAGGAAAAGAUGUAUCUCAACAAAUAACACCUGUUCAGAAAGCUUCCGUUGCAGGUAUUCUUGCCAAAAGAAAUUUAAUUGGUUGUGCUGUCACGGGCUCCGGCAAAACAGUAGUCCAAUUAAUUAACGCUUAGUAAUUUUGAAACCUGGAUGUCCUGGUACUGUUACGGAUGUAGCCGACGCGGGACCCAAAAACCAGGACAGCGAGACAGGUAGCCGCGUAGACGUUAGGACAGAUGGGUAAUUCCAAAGCUCAGGCAAGACGAAGUGUAUUUGUCAGGGCAACACUUUCACAAGUUCAACACAAUUACACACACAAGUACGCGAAGGGAAGCCAGCGGUAGCGCAAAGCUCCUUCUUUCAACCACACAGUAGACGGCGAGGUUCCAGACUGCCCUCCGUGACUGGGAGCAGACGACCCGUCGCCUACUUACCGGUUGGCCAUCUAUUGAGGGGGUAUUUGACAGGACACUGUUAUGAGAUAUGAAACUGUAACAUUCGGCCUUCCUGACUCGAAGUUACACACGAACAAUACAAAUAAAACACAGAGGGUUUUCUGGAACUUCGAAAUGUCCCUCACAGAAA